GUCGUUGAAGUAUAGUGGUGAGUUCCCCCGCUUGUCAUGCGGGAGACCUGGGCUCGAUCCCCGGCAAUGGCG
rfam:Ipomoea nil DNA, scaffold: scaffold3056, cultivar: Tokyo-kokei standard.